CUUCGGGGGACGAUAACGGCGUCGAGCGGCGGACGGGUGAGUAAUGCCUAGGAAAUUGCCCUGAUGUGGGGGAUAACCAUUGGAAACGAUGGCUAAUACCGCAUGAUGCCUACGGGCCAAAGAGGGGGACCUUCGGGCCUCUCGCGUCAGGAUAUGCCUAGGUGGGAUUAGCUAGUUGGUGAGGUAAGGGCUCACCAAGGCGACGAUCCCUAGCUGGUCUGAGAGGAUGAUCAGCCACACUGGAACUGAGACACGGUCCAGACUCCUACGGGAGGCAGCAGUGGGGAAUAUUGCACAAUGGGCGCAAGCCUGAUGCAGCCAUGCCGCGUGUGUGAAGAAGGCCUUCGGGUUGUAAAGCACUUUCAGUCGUGAGGAAGGCGGUGUAGUUAAUAGCUGCAUCGUUUGACGUUAGCGACAGAAGAAGCACCGGCUAACUCCGUGCCAGCAGCCGCGGUAAUACGGAGGGUGCGAGCGUUAAUCGGAAUUACUGGGCGUAAAGCGCAUGCAGGUGGUUUGUUAAGUCAGAUGUGAAAGCCCGGGGCUCAACCUCGGAAUUGCAUUUGAAACUGGCAGACUAGAGUACUGUAGAGGGGGGUAGAAUUUCAGGUGUAGCGGUGAAAUGCGUAGAGAUCUGAAGGAAUACCGGUGGCGAAGGCGGCCCCCUGGACAGAUACUGACACUCAGAUGCGAAAGCGUGGGGAGCAAACAGGAUUAGAUACCCUGGUAGUCCACGCCGUAAACGAUGUCUACUUGGAGGUUGUGGCCUUGAGCCGUGGCUUUCGGAGCUAACGCGUUAAGUAGACCGCCUGGGGAGUACGGUCGCAAGAUUAAAACUCAAAUGAAUUGACGGGGGCCCGCACAAGCGGUGGAGCAUGUGGUUUAAUUCGAUGCAACGCGAAGAACCUUACCUACUCUUGACAUCCAGAGAACUUUCCAGAGAUGGAUUGGUGCCUUCGGGAACUCUGAGACAGGUGCUGCAUGGCUGUCGUCAGCUCGUGUUGUG
rnacentral:rRNA from 1 species